UUUCCUUUCGACUCGUUUUCGUUAAAGCCUUCUCGUGAUUUCAUCGUAUGAAAAGCAUUUUGCGCGUUUUAUCGGGCACUAAUCUCCUCUGAAACAGAUAGGUUAAAUGCUUAUGCCCUGAGUUUAUUUUAAUCUCUCUUCUUUUUUUCUUUCCUGAAAACUUUCAGAUGAAUCUCUGCAAUUCCUUCAUCGUUGCACCGUACUGUACGUUCUUGAUUUCCUACUUCACCUCGCAGAGCGCAUUUCGUGGUGCAAGGUUUUCUGAUGAGAAAGUUGCAAUCUUGGAUGAUGUGGAAUUGUUAUGUUUGAACCCAGAGCUGAAGGAGCCUUAGCCAGAGAGAGAUGGCCCGGGAGGAAGGAGACACGAGCGACUCGGAUGGAGCGAGCUUUACACUUUUGCUUACCUCCGCCCCGCUGCGGCAUUUCUGACGGUGAGCAGGGCAAUAAAAUUGAGAUGGAGGUUGAUUCGAGGCUGUCAAAUCCUUACAAGCACCAUGCGCGUAUGCUUGCACCUUAACUUGCCACCAGAUGGAUUUUUUGAAGUGUUCCAUUGCUGGAGCUUCAUAUGGCGUGGAGCAUAUUGCAUCGGAUAGUGGGUAUGAUUUCGGCUCAUCAGAAGUGAAUCAGAAGAAGGGAUUACUCGCAUGGUUGAGAAGUCACAAAAGCCUGCAACAAAGGGUUCAUGCAAGAAAAUUGGGAGCAGGGGCCUUGUGCUGGUGUACUAUCCUUGUCAUCUUGAGGAUACACAGCAAUUCCGGAGCCAAAUGAAAAACUGGUGGUUCUACACACGAAAUGAAAACAGCGGACGAAGGAAUUGCCGGUGUGUUUGAAUUUUCUAAGCGGACUGGGUCAAAUGUCUUCAUGAAGAAGAGACUCUUUCAGAGGAUCCUGCAGAGAGGUCACAACCGAAUGCAAAUGGUGCUGGUGUUCAAGAUUGUGAAUGAAUUGGAGUCACCAACAGCAAAAAGGGCAGAAAUUAUCAUUCCUUUUUGCAAAGGAGUGACAGGUACAACUGAACUACUCUUGUCAUUAGAACACUACCGGUGGUUGCCGGGUAUCUUUACUAUUGUUUGAGUUCGGUGAUCUUCUUCUUGUGUCAUAAAAUAUGGUCGUGCAUGUAAGUUCCAUCUGGUCAACCUCAUAUCUUUGGAGCCUAAAGGAACAAUCUGUUUUUGUUAGCUUGAGCAGCAUUGUUUUGGAUAUGCUGUCAAUAGGAGUAAGAACAAUAUGUUCUUUCAAGAGAAAAAACAAAAUCUACGACCUUAACUAUUAGAGGGGAUGUAGUUUCGUAGGGGAAGCAACCUUGUACCAGAAUCUUGUCCUCGGGCUUUUUGAUCAUAAGACCACUUGACACAGAUGCAAAGGAUAGAAGAGAUGAGGAGGAGGUGAAAGGGUCAGUCCAUAGUCCGUCCUAACACCAUUGUGAAUGCACUUCCUUGAGCCACCCCAACAAUAUGUUCCUUCUGAAGUAUGGUUUCAGGUAUGCUUUCUGUAACGUGUUAUCUGUUUUGACUUUUUAUAGAAUUUUAGAGAAGGAAGAGAAGAUGGUAGAAGAAACGAUGAGUACUUCUAAUCCGUAGUAAUUUGGAUUUAUACAAGAACACAUAUUUAUUAUUCAAAAGAUAUAGUAUAUAUAUUUUUAAAUAAUGAAGAAAAUAUAUCAGAUCCCAAUAAAUCUUCUCAUCCUCAUUUAUUUAUUUCGAUCUAAUUUUUUAUAUUUUAUUUUAUAUAAUCCUAAGUAUUUGAAUUAAUCUUAUCACAUCCUCUUAAUUCAAAAUAGUUGUAACUUGAAGUUGUCUUCCAAAAAAAAAAAAAAAUUCUAUCUUA